AACGAACGCUGGCGGCAUGCCUAACACAUGCAAGUCGAACGAGACCUUCGGGUCUAGUGGCGCACGGGUGCGUAACGCGUGGGAACCUGCCUUUAGGUUCGGAAUAACUCAGAGAAAUUUGAGCUAAUACCGGAUAAUGUCUUCGGACCAAAGAUUUAUCGCCUUUAGAUGGGCCCGCGUAAGAUUAGCUAGUUGGUGGGGUAAAGGCCUACCAAGGCGACGAUCUUUAGCUGGUCUGAGAGGAUGAUCAGCCACACUGGGACUGAGACACGGCCCAGACUCCUACGGGAGGCAGCAGUAAGGAAUAUUGGUCAAUGGACGCAAGUCUGAACCAGCCAUGCCGCGUGAAGGAUUAAGGUCCUCUGGAUUGUAAACUUCUUUUAUCUGGGACGAAAAAGGCGAUUCUUCGUCACUUGACGGUACCAGAUGAAUAAGCACCGGCUAAACUCCGUGCCAGCAGCCGCGGUAAU
rnacentral:rRNA from 1 species